UGCAGUCGAGCGGUAAGGCUCCUUCGGGAGUACACGAGCGGCGAACGGGUGAGUAACACGUGAGCAAUCUGCCCUUCUCUUUGGAAUAAGCGCGGGAAACUGCGUCUAAUGCCGAAUACGACUUCCUUUCGCAUGUUAGGAAGUGGAAAGCUCCGGCGGAGAAGGAUGAGCUCGCGGCCUAUCAGCUUGUUGGUGAGGUAAUGGCUCACCAAGGCAUUGACGGGUAGCCGGCCUGAGAGGGUGACCGGCCACACUGGGACUGAGACACGGCCCAGACUCCUACGGGAGGCAGCAGUGGGGAAUAUUGGACAAUGGGCGAAAGCCUGAUCCAGCAACGCCGCGUGAGGGAUGACGGCCUUCGGGUUGUAAACCUCUUUCAGUAGGGACGAAGCGAAAGUGACGGUACCUACAGAAGAAGGACCGGCCAACUACGUGCCAGCAGCCGCGGUAAUACGUAGGGUCCGAGCGUUGUCCGGAAUUAUUGGGCGUAAAGGGCUCGUAGGCGGUUUGUCGCGUCGGGAGUGAAAACUCAGGGCUCAACCCUGAGCGUGCUUCCGAUACGGGCAGACUAGAGGUAUGCAGGGGAGAACGGAAUUCCUGGUGUAGCGGUGGAAUGCGCAGAUAUCAGGAGGAACACCGGUGGCGAAGGCGGUUCUCUGGGCAUUACCUGACGCUGAGGAGCGAAAGCAUGGGGAGCGAACAGGAUUAGAUACCCUGGUAGUCCAUGCCGUAAACGUUGGGCGCUAGGUGUGGGGACCUUCCACGGUCUCCGUGCCGCAGCUAACGCAUUAAGCGCCCCGCCUGGGGAGUACGGCCGCAAGGCUAAAACUCAAAGGAAUUGACGGGGGCCCGCACAAGCGGCGGAGCAUGCUGAUUAAUUCGAUGCAACGCGAAGAACCUUACCUGGGUUUGACAUAUACCGGAAAGCUGCAGAGAUGUAGCCCCCCUUGUGGUCGGUAUACAGGUGGUGCAUGGCUGUCGUCAGCUCGUGUCGUGAGAUGUUGGGUUAAGUCCCGCAACGAGCGCAACCCUCGUCCUAUGUUGCCAGCACGUAAUGGUGGGGACUCAUAGGAGACUGCCGGGGUCAACUCGGAGGAAGGUGGGGAUGACGUCAAGUCUUCAUGCCCCUUAUG
rnacentral:rRNA from 1 species